AUGGGCUUAAAGCUUUACUGCAAUGGUUAAUGCAGGCCUUAGAGAUUGAGUGGGAUUUUCACACCCCGUGGUACCCCUCCUCUUCUGGGAAGGUGGAGUGAAUGAACCAGACAUUAAAGAAGCAAUUAACUAAAUUAGUGUUAGAAACCCAACUUCCCUGGGUAAAAUGCUUACCUUUAGCACUCCUCCAGGUACAAACAGCACC